AACGUUUUCGUUUACGGAUUCAAUAAGGAGGAUUAAAAACCACUGGCUGUGAGUUGGCUCAGGGAUUGUAGUAGGAUCUCUGAAUGAACAGUAUAAUUACAGAUUUCGAAAAACUUGUCUAUAAUAUUUAAACUGACAGUUCUACUUUAUGCCUAUAGCUAAAUUGAAGAAAAUGUACCGUCAUUGGUUGGUUUGAAGAGUUUGCUAUGUUGACCCAAGAUCAUCACCUCGGUCCGUCAAAAGUUAGUUUUGCAUUUCAUCAAUUGAUAGAUUGAUUGAAUGACUGCUACCUAUAGACUUGCCGUUGGCUGUCCUCUCCUCUAUAACCUGACAUAAGCCACCAAACUCUCUUCGUCAAACUCAAAAACUCGAAAUCUCCAGGGAGCAAAAGAUGGUAAUGCUGUCAGACUCUUUAUUUCCUUUUUUUUUUUUUUUUUUUAAUUAGACGCCUAUUUAUUGUCUUAUUUGGAAGUCUACCACAGAGCAAGUGAUGGUGAUUCACAAAAUGCGACGGUGGUGCCUUAGAUAAACAAAUUAGAAAAGAGUUCGAAAGAAACUGUAGUCCAACUAAAAAAGACAAGAAUCACAGAAAUUGAUCAUACAUUUGAAGAGAUCAAUGUCAUAUCUAAGUAAUUGCCUACCAGCUCCUUCCCUAGCCCAGCAACAGUCAACUGAUGACAAGCCAGGGUUAAUGUCGGGUUAGGGGAGGGGUAUGUGCGCAGUAGCUAAGAUAAUUAAAUUGAUCCGUUCGACUUGAAGACAAAGUACUUUAUUUCUGACUCCUCAACUAAAUUACUUAUUAAAGUUUGGUGACUUCGCACAGGCCCCGUUUCGAGGUAGCUCGUUUUAAAGCGUAAGUUAUAUUAAUUGCUUGAGGACAAUCGAUUUGUUUUACCAGAGAAUGGUUCCUUCAUUCGGAGGGCUUUUUUCCUUAUAUUUAUAGAUUACUACUUCUAUUACUUCACUAUAGUUUUGUACAUUGAAUUUUCAUUCUUGACUUUGCUGUUUUUAAGACUUGAUAAAAAUUGAACAUAAGCAAUUUGAUCGUUGUCUGGUUCAGUUCGUUGACAUUGCGUCAAGUUGCUCUAAGUUACCUUUGAAACGCUGCUGAAAAGUUCUAUGGGCUCAGCAAAUAUCCACGUUUCGAUUUUGAAUGAACAAAAAGUUGUUACGUUCACUUCGAUAUCAAAUUGGGUCUAAAAUGUACAGAUUGCUACUGUUAUGUUAUAUUGGUUAAUGGUAAUUAUCUUUACAAGAAGCACGUUGAGUUCUUUUCAAACACAUGGGGAUCUAGUCUACUUUCCAACUUUUUUUCUCGUUUGUUUGUAGUUGUUGUUGUAAUUUUUUUUCCAUGUUGUUUCGCGCUUUUUAUGUUUGUCGUCACGCAACUGUACUCGUCACGGUUUUCGUGACUAAAAUGUGGCGUGACGACCCAAAUAUCACCUGGAAAGGAGGCUAAAUCCUCCCCACUCAUCCUCGUCUAAGAUCCAUAGCUAAUUUUAGAUAGCCUUGAAAAGUAAUGGGAGAUUGUUGGUUAUUUAGCUGGAAUAAAUUAUAUUAGUUUUAACAAGUGAUUGCUAAAAAAAAAGGAUAAGUAAAAACUUUUCUUUUCA